GAUGAAGAACGUAGCAAAAUGCGAUAAGUAAUGUGAAUUGCAGAAUUCAGUGAAUCAUCGAAUCUUUGAACGCACAUUGCGCCCGCUGGUAUUCCGGCGGGCAUGCCUGUUCGAACGUCAUUUCAACCCUCAAGCCCCCGGGUUUGGUGUUGGGGAUCGGCUCUGCCCUUCUGGGCGGUGCCGCCCCCGAAAUACAUUGGCGGUCUCGCUGCAGCCUCCAUUGCGUAGUAGCUAACACCUCGCAACUGGAACGCGGCGCGGCCAUGCCGUAAAACCCCAACUUCUGAAUGUUGACCUCGGAUCAGGUAGGAAUACCCGCUGAACUUAAGCAUAUCAAUAAGCGGAGGA
rnacentral:misc_RNA from 1 species